UACGUAGGGGGCAAGCGUUGUCCGGAUUUACUGGGCGUAAAGAGCUCGUAGGCGGUCUGUCGCGUCGGUCGUGAAAACUUGGGGCUUAACCCUGAGCUUGCGGUCGAUACGGGCAUGACUGGAGUUCGGCAGGGGAGACUGGAAUUCCUGGUGUAGCGGUGAAAUGCGCAGAUAUCAGGAGGAACACCGGUGGCGAAGGCGGGUCUCUGGGCCGAUACUGACGCUGAGGAGCGAAAGCGUGGGGAGCGAACAGG
rnacentral:rRNA from 1 species